rnacentral:rRNA from 1 species
GGGGCAGCGGGGAGGAAGCUUGCUUUCUCCGCCGGCGACCGGCGCACGGGUGAGUAACACGUAUGCAACCUGCCCCUGUCAGGGGGACAACCCGCCGAAAGGCGGGCUAAACCCGCGUACAUGCCACCGGGGCAUCCCGGAGGCAGGAAAGGCUUCGGCCGGACAGGGAUGGGCAUGCGGCGCAUUAGGCAGUAGGCGGGGUAACGGCCCACCUAACCGACGAUGCGUAGGGGUUCUGAGAGGAAGGUCCCCCACACUGGUACUGAGACACGGACCAGACUCCUACGGGAGGCAGCAGUGAGGAAUAUUGGUCAAUGGUCGGGAGACUGAACCAGCCAAGCCGCGUGAGGGAGGAAGGUACAGAGUAUCGUAAACCUCUUUUGUCAGGGAACAAAGGCGGGGACGUGUCCCCGGAUGAGUGUACCUGAAGAAAAAGCAUCGGCUAACUCCGUGCCAGCAGCCGCGGUAAUACGGAGGAUGCGAGCGUUAUCCGGAUUUAUUGGGUUUAAAGGGUGCGCAGGCGGUCUGUUAAGUCAGCGGUCAAAGCCCGGGGCUCAACCCCGGCCCGCCCCCCCACCUGGCAGUCUCGAGUUGGAGAGAAGUAUGCGGAAUGCGCGGUGUAGCGGUGAAAUGCAUAGA